UAAGGAAUAUUGGACAAUGGUCGGAAGACUGAUCCAGCCAUGCCGCGUGAAGGACGAAGGCGCUCAGCGUUGUAAACUUCUUUUGGAUGGGAAUAAUAAUGUCGACUUGUCGGCACUUGAAGGUACCAUCAGAAUAAGCACCGGCUAACUCCGUGCCAGCAGCCGCGGUAAUACGGAGGGUGCGAGCGUUAUCCGGAAUCACUGGGUUUAAAGGGUGCGUAGGCGGCGAGGUAAGUCAGUUGUGGAAUAC
rnacentral:rRNA from 1 species